rnacentral:rRNA from 1 species
GUGGGGAAUAUUGGACAAUGGCCGGAAGGCUGAUCCAGCCAUGCCGCGUGCGGGACGACGGCCCUAUGGGUUGUAAACCGCUUUUGCGGGGGAGCAAUAAGAGUCACGUGUGGCUCGAUGAGAGUACCCUGCGAAUAAGCAUCGGCUAACUCCGUGCCAGCAGCCGCGGUAAUACGGAGGAUGCAAGCGUUAUCCGGAUUUAUUGGGUUUAAAGGGUGCGCAGGCGGCUUGUUAAGCGGGAGGUGAAAUGCCGGCGCUCAACGUCGGAAGUGCCUCCCGAACUGGUGAGCUUGAAUGACUCUGCCGUGGGAGGAAUGUGUAGUGUAGCGGUGAAAUGCUUAGAGAUUACACAGAACACCGAUUGCGAAGGCAUCUCACGAAGGGUUGAUUGACGCUGAGGCACGAAAGCGUGGGGAUCAAACAGG